AUACGGAGGAUCCGAGCGUUAUCCGGAUUUAUUGGGUUUAAAGGGUGCGUAGGCGGAAAAAUAAGUCAGUUGUGAAAGUUUGCAGCUCAACUGUAAAAGUGCAUUUAAAACUGGCAGACUUGAGUCUCGGAGAGGUAAGCGGAAUUCCUAGUGUAGCGGUGAAAUGCGUAGAGAUUAGGAAGAACACCGGUGGCGAAGGCGGCUUACUGGACGAGUACUGACGCUCAGGUACGAAAGCGUGGGGAGC
rnacentral:rRNA from 1 species